rnacentral:rRNA from 1 species
CCUACGGGUGGCAGCAGUGAGGAAUAUUGGUCAAUGGGCGUAAGCCUGAACCAGCCAAGUCGCGUGAGGGAUGAAGGUUUUAUGGAUCGUAAACCUCUUUUAUAAGGGAAUAAAGUGCGGGACGUGGCCCGUGUUGUAUGUACCUUAUGAAUAAGGAUCGGCUAACUCCGCGCCAGCAGCCGCGGUAAUACGGAGGAUCCGAGCGUUAUCCGGAGUUAUUGGGUUUAAAGGGUGCGUAGGCGGACUUUUAAGUCAGCGGUGAAAGUCUGUGGCUCAACCAUUGAAGUGCCGUUGAAACUGGGAGGCUUGAGUAUGUUUGAGGCAGGAGGAAUGCGUGGUGUAGCGGUGAAAUGCGUAGAUAUCACGAAGAACACCAGUUGCGAAGGCAGCCUGCCAGGCCAUGACUGACGCUGAUGCGCGAAAGCGUGGGGAUCAAACAGGAUUAGAUACCCUUGUAGUA